rnacentral:rRNA from 1 species
CAAGUNGAACGUUAGCACAGAGGAGCUUGCAUUAAGGGUGUCGAGUGGCGGACGGGUGAGUAAUGUCUGGGAAACUGCCCGAUGGAGGGGGAUAACUACUGGAAACGGUAGCUAAUACCGCAUAACGUCGCAAGACCAAAGAGGGGGACCUUCGGGCCUCUUGCCAUCGGGAGAGCCCAGAUGGGAUUAGCUAGUAGGUGGGGUAACGGCUCACCUAGGCGACGAUCCCUAGCUGGUCUGAGAGGAUGACCACCACACUGGAACUGAGACACGGUCCAGACUCCUACGGGAGGCAGCAGUGGGGAAUAUUGCACAAUGGUCGCGAACCAGAUGCAGCCAUGCCGCGUGUAUGAAGAAGGCCUUCGGGUUGUAAAGUACUUUCAGCGAGGAGGAAGGUAUUAUGGUUAAUAACCGCAGUAAUUGACGUUACUCGCAGAAGAAGCACCGGCUAACUCCGUGCCAGCAGCCGCGGUAAUACGGAGGGUACAAGCGUUAAUCGGAAUUACUGGGCGUAAAGCGCUNGCAGGCGGUCUGUCAAGUAGGAUAUGAAAUCCCCGGGCUCAACCUGGGAACUGCAUCCGANACUGGCAGGCAUGAGUCUUGUAGAGGGGGGUAGAAUUCCAGGUGUAGCGGUNAAAUGCGUAGAGAUCUGGAGGAAUACCGGUGGCGAAGGCGG